rnacentral:rRNA from 1 species
UGGGGAAUAUUGCACAAUGGGCGAAAGCCUGAUGCAGCGACACCGCGUGAGGGAUGACGGCCUUCGGGUUGUAAACCUCUUUCAGCAGGGACGAAGCGCAAGUGACGGUACCUGCAGAAGAAGCACCGGCUAACUACGUGCCAGCAGCCGCGGUAAUACGUAGGGUGCAAGCGUUGUCCGGAAUUACUGGGCGUAAAGAGUUCGUAGGCGGUUUGUCGCGUCGUUUGUGAAAACCAGCAGCUCAACUGCUGGCUUGCAGGCGAUACGGGCAGACUUGAGUACUGCAGGGGAGACUGGAAUUCCUGGUGUAGCGGUGAAAUGCGCAGAUAUCAGGAGGAACACCGGUGGCGAAGGCGGGUCUCUGGGCAGUAACUGACGCUGAGGAACGAAAGCGUGGGUAGCGAACAGG